GAUGAACGCUAGCGGCAGGCUUAACACAUGCAAGUCGAACGGUAACAGAAAAAGCUUGCUUUUUGCUGACGAGUGGCGAACGGGUGCGUAACGCGUAUGCAACCUACCUUUAACUGAGGAAUAGCCCAGAGAAAUUUGGAUUAAUACCUCAUAAUAAUAUUGAUUCGCAUGUUUUGAUAUUUAAAGUUUUGCGGUUAAAGAUGGGCAUGCGUAACAUUAGUUUGUUGGUGAGGUAAUGGCUCACCAAGACUACGAUGUUUAGGGGUUCUGAGAGGAUGAUCCCCCACACUGGUACUGAGACACGGCCCAGACUCCUACGGGAGGCAGCAGUAAGGAAUCUUGCACAAUGGGGGAAACCCUGAUGCAGCGAUGCCGCGUGAGUGAAGAAGGCCCUUGGGUUGUAAAACUCUUUCGUCGGGGAAGAAAAUGACUGUACCCGAAGAAGAAGGUCCGGCUAACUUCGUG
rnacentral:rRNA from 1 species